rnacentral:misc_RNA from 1 species
GAUGAAGAACGCAGCGAAAUGCGAUAAGUAAUGUGAAUUGCAGAAUUCAGUGAAUCAUCGAAUCUUUGAACGCACAUUGCGCCCCUUGGUAUUCCGAGGGGCAUGCCUGUUCGAGCGUCAUUAUAACCCCUCAAGCUCAGCUUGGUGUUGGGGCCUGCCGCACGGGUAGCCCUUAAAAUCAGUGGCGGUGCCAUCUGGCUCUAAGCGUAGUAAUUCUUCUCGCUAUAGAGUCCCGGUGGAUGCUUGCCAUUAACCCCCAAUUUUCUAUGGUUGACCUCGGAUCAGGUAGGGAUACCCGCUGAACUUAAGCAUAUCAAUAAGCGGAGGA